ACCAAUCGAACGCUAUAAACAUCACUUCUAUUGUUAGUGACUAAAGGCUACCAUUCCAUUGUUUAUCGACAUUUCUUGUGAUUCGAGUUAAACUUGGUAUUUAAAUUUUAAAUUUUGUGUAAUUGUUGUAUAUUCGUAAAAUAAUUAAUUGAACCCGCCCAUCAUGGAAGCAGGAAGAUCUCCAGUAAAAACGCCAAACCCAGGUCCAAGCCGACCUCAACCUGACAAAAUCACGCUCAAAUUAUUCAUUGAACCAAAUGCUGCUGGCGACCAAAGUAACCAAGACAAAGCGAGCCCCCGAUUUGUACCCACGGGAGAAACGAAGCGAAGAAAAAAUUAGAAUCGUUGCUUGAAGAUUUCGCAAUUAGCUAGAACACCAUAGCACAAUUAUCAAGAAUGUGUAAUGAACACAGAGCCGAGGCAACAUCGUUUUCCUUCGCAUUGGCAUUCAUCUUGCGUUCAGCUGAGGUCACCAACUUUUAAUUGUUCCGUUAUAAUGAAAAUAAAUAAUUAACAUCUC